AUGCCCCUUAUGUCUUGGGCUUCACGCAUGCUACAAUGGCCGGUACAAAGGGCUGCGAUACCGCGAGGUGGAGCGAAUCCCAGAAAGCCGGUCUCAGUUCGGAUUGGGGUCUGCAACUCGACCCCAUGAAGUCGGAGUCGCUAGUAAUCGCAGAUCAGCAACGCUGCGGUGAAUACGUUCCCGGGCCUU
rnacentral:rRNA from 1 species